rnacentral:rRNA from 1 species
AUUGAACGCUGGCGGCAGGCCUACCACAUGCAAGUCGAGCGGAGCGGCGGACGGGGGAGUAAGGACAAGGAAUAUGCCUGGACGUGGGGGAUAACGUCCGGAAACGGGCGCUAAUACCGCAUACUAUCAGAUGAGCCUAGGUUGUAUUAGCUGGUUGGUGGGUUAAAGGCCUACCAAGGCGACGAUCCGUAACUUGUCUGAGAGGAUGAUCAGUCACCCUGGAACUGAGACACGGUCCAGACUCCUACGGGAGGCAGCAGUGGGGAAUAUUGGACAAUGGGCGAAAGCCUGAUCCAGCCAUGCCGCGUGUGUGAAGAAGGUCUUCGGAUUGUAAAGCACUUUAAGUUGGGAGGCGUUACCAACAGAAUAAGCACCGGCUAACUUCGUGCCAGCAGCCGCGGUAAUAC